rnacentral:lncRNA from 1 species
ACAAACAAAAAUAGAAAACAUAGUCGCUUUACGAUAUCCUUUUAAAAAAUAAACGAGCCUUGCCUUGCCUCGCCAAAUAAAACGUACAGGCUGCGGGGCGCUCAAUGGAUGGUAAUAAAUACUUAGACCUCGGGAUGAGCCUUUUAGCGAAUUGCACGGUCUUCCAAAAAAAAAUAAUAACGCGCUAGACUCUUUAGGUGCGUAUUUUAAUAAUAUUUCCUCCCUAAACACGGGUGUACAUUUAUGUGACCAAAACCCAAAUCCCAAC